rnacentral:rRNA from 1 species
AUUGAACGCUGGCGGCAUGCUUUACACAUGCAAGUCGAACGGCAGCGCGGGCUUCGGCCUGGCGGCGAGUGGCGAACGGGUGAGUAAUGCAUCGGAACGUGCCCAGUAGUGGGGGAUAGCCCGGCGAAAGCCGGAUUAAUACCGCAUACGACCUGAGGGUGAAAGCGGGGGACCGAAAGGCCUCGCGCCAUUGGAGCGGCCGAUGUCGGAUUAGCUAGUUGGUGGGGUAAAGGCUUACCAAGGCGACGAUCCGUAGCUGGUCUGAGAGGACGACCAGCCACACUGGGACUGAGACACGGCCCAGACUCCUACGGGAGGCAGCAGUGGGGAAUUUUGGACAAAGGGGGCAAGCCUGAUCCAGCCAUGCCGCGUGCGGGAAGAAGGCCUUCGGGUUGUAAACCGCUUUUGUUCGGGAAGAAAUCCUGUGGGCUAAUACCCCGGGGGGAUGACGGUACCGGAAGAAUAAGCACCGGCUAACUACGUG